GUCCACGCCCUAAACGAUGAACACUAGUCGUCGGGAUGCUCGUCAUCUCGGUGAUGCACUUAACAGAUUAAGUGUUCCGCCUGGGAGUACGGUCGCAAGAUUAAAACUCAAAGGAAUAGACGGGGACCCGCACAAGUGGUGGAGCAUGUGGUUUAAUUCGAAGAUACGCGAAAACCUUACCUGGCCUUGACAUUGAUAGAACCUGCUAGAGAUAGCGGGGUGCCCUUCGGGGAGCUUGAAAACAGGUGCUGCACGGCUGUCGU
rnacentral:rRNA from 1 species